UGUGUGUGUGUGUGUGUGUGUGUGUGCAUCUGUGUGUCUGCACACGCAGACAAGCACAUGCACGCACACACAUAUU